GACGAACGCUGGCGGCGUGCCUAAUACAUGCAAGUAGAACGCUGAAGGAGGAGCUUGCUCUUCUGGAUGAGUUGCGAACGGGUGAGUAACGCGUAGGUAACCUGCCUGGUAGCGGGGGAUAACUAUUGGAAACGAUAGCUAAUACCGCAUAAGAGUAGAUGUUGCAUGACAUUUGCUUAAAAGGUGCAAUUGCAUCACUACCAGAUGGACCUGCGUUGUAUUAGCUAGUUGGUGGGGUAACGGCUCACCAAGGCGACGAUACAUAGCCGACCUGGGAGGGUGAUCGGCCACACUGGGACUGAGACACGGCCCAGACUCCUACGGGAGGCAGCAGUAGGGAAUCUUCGGCAAUAGACGGAAGUCUGACCGAGCAACGCCGCGUGAGUGAAGAAGGUUUUCGGAUCGUAAAGCUCUGUUGUAAGAGAAGAACGAGUGUGAGAGUGGAAAGUUCACACUGUGACGGUAUCUUACCAGAAAGGGACGGCUAACUACGUG
rnacentral:rRNA from 1 species